UACGGAGGGGACUAGCGUUGUUCGGAAUUACUGGGCGUAAAGCGCACGUAGGCGGAUUUGUAAGUCAGGGGUGAAAUCCCGGGGCUCAACUUCGGAACUGCCUUUGAUACUGCAAAUCUCGAGUCCGGAAGAGGUGAGUGGAAUUCCCGGUGUAGAGGUGAAAUUCGUAGAUAUCGGGAGGAACACCAGUGGCGAAGGCGGCCACCUGGACGAACACUGACGCUGAGACGCGAAAGCGUGGGGAGCAAACAGG
rnacentral:rRNA from 1 species